ACACCGUUCGUGUUCGUUUUUGUCCUAACUGAUAUCAAAGUAGUGGUUCAAAGAUGAUAAUGAAUAGACAAGUCCAAAUAAUUUGUGAUACUAGAUGUAGAAAACAGAAUCAGGCAGAGAUUUUGAAGAAACUCUAAGUCAAAGGGCAGAUAAAGGUCAAAACAAACACUGUGGGGGGGGGAUUCAUUGGAAUAAUCCAUCAAAGUUAGAUGAUCUGGCAUAGGACAAAAGGAAAGAGGUGAGAAUAUAUACACACUGGGGAGGGAAAGGCAACUGGAUGCAGGUGAAGCACAUUAGGACAGGGCAGGUAAUCACACAGGCGGGAAAGCAGACAAAUGGUCCGUUCGGAACUUGGAACUGAACUCGUAUUUUCAACUUGGAAACUUGGAGAAAAAUCACCAACCCUGACAUGGGAUUCUGAACUUUUUGCCACCAAAUAAUACCACAGAUAGCAUUGUUAGUGACUGGUAUUACUAACAUUGACUAGUCCGAGAUAUGUUUUUCUUUCAGCCUUCGCAAUGCGUGGGUAUCAAAACAAAACAGGAAGUGUCAAGAUAAAACUGUUGUGUUCAUUUCCAGUCUUGUUAUUUCAGGCAAUUUUCAGCUGCUCUAAAUCAUUCUAUGUUCACUCUUUUGUUUAUUUCAGGACGUGUGCUUUUGUUUUGAUUACUUCUUUUAUCCCUAAUCCUUUUUUGUAUCUUUUAAAGUUUACAGAUACUUUCAUCUUCCCAGUUUCUUUAGAGUGUAGCACUGGGCAACAGAUCCAUUAAGUCUUGAUUCUUGUCUCAUUUGUCUUUCAGCUUUUCUUGUUGUUUUGCCUGAUUUGGUAAACAGCAGGAAACCUCUGCUGAACCUCUUGUGCAAUUGAGUCAGCAGAGGUAUUGAUUCCACAAGAAGACGUUGGCCACUGUGCUCUGAUACAAGUCACCAACAUCAUUAUUCAGACUACCUCUUGUAAAGAACCGAUUCAUCAUGCCCCCACCCUUACCCACUCCUUCCACCGAGGAAGACGGAAUAACUUAAUUCUCCCUGUGCAAUAAAUAGAUAUAUAGAUAUAGAUAUUUUGACAACUAAAUGAAUUUCACAAUACAAUCUGCCACGAGAGACAAAGGCAACACACCUGCACACUCUUCUGAUGCUGAAUCUGCUGGAAUUUCAAAUGUGAAAUGCUACCGGAUAGCAGAACAUCUGCUGCAUUUAAAAUGUAGGUAAAUCAACUUUGAUUGUCCUUUGAGCAGAGGCAUCACAUGCAGACGGAGAGAUUUCAGUAAUCUGCUGCGAUCAUUGUAAAUCACACUGUGUGACACGGGUCUAAUAAACUUGGUUUGAGACUUCAAGGAUGAUGUAUGCUGACACGGAGCGAAUCAAACGCUACGAUACUUGAUUACAUGAUUAUCAUGCACCAGUGGUAGAACAAUAGAAGAAGAUGAAUUGUGGUCUGGUUCUGUUUAUGGACAGGUUUGGUAUCCAAGACAGGAACACAGAGGGACAGAUGGUGGUAGACUUUGCAAAAAGGAUGGAAAUGGCUGGAGUGAAUACUUUUUUCCAGAAGAGGCAUGAGCAUAGGGUGACUUAUAAGAGUGGAGCAAGUCAGCAUAGGAUGGUGGUUUGCAGGAUGAAUCUGGUGACAAGGAAGACGAAGAGGACAAAGGCAGAACAAAGGACAAAGUGGUGGAUGCUGAAAAGAGAGGACUGUUCUGUGGUUUUCAGAGAGGAGUUGAGAAAGAAUCUGGGUGGUCAGAGAGAGCUGACUACAGCUAAUGUAAUCAGGGAGACAGGUAGGAGAGUACUUGGUGUGUCGUCUGGAAGGACAGUAGAUAAGGAGACUUGGUGGUGGAAUGGGGAAGUGCAGGAGUAUAUAAA